UACGUAGGGGGCUAGCGUUGUCCGGAUUUAUUGGGCGUAAAGAGCGUGUAGGCGGCCAGGUAGGUCUGCUGUGAAAACUCGAGGCUCAACCUCGAGACGUCGGCGGAAACCAUCUGGCUAGAGUCCGGAAGAGGAGAGUGGAAUUCCCAGUGUAGCGGUGAAAUGCGUAGAUAUUGGGAGGAACACCAGUGGCGAAGGCGGCUCACUGGACCGGAACUGACGCUGAGGCGCGAAAGCGUGGGGAGCAAACAGG
rnacentral:rRNA from 1 species